rnacentral:ribozyme from 1 species
UUUUUUUUUUUUUUUUUUUUUUUUUUUUUUCUCUCUUUC